ACAAUAUUUUUGGUCUUAAGAAUUCCUUAAUGUGUUAUGCCUACUUUGAAGUAUAAUCAAAAACGUCAAAUUUCGGUUAAAAAUCAAUUAAUUCACAAAAACAAGUUUUUACGCUCGCUUGAGGUGGUUUUUGAUUUAAGCGAGAAAGAGUAAAUGCGAAAAAGGAAGAUGAAAACGCAUUUGCCGAAUUAAUUCUGACAGAGAACAUUAAACCCCCGGGACUGACCGUCUGUCUAGCUGUUUCCGCUGGAGUUGUCUUUACCAUGUGGGGCUCGAGCCUCGACGUCGUCGCCUUGCUGCUAGUGCCUUCAUCAAAAAAGCUGCAUUCCUUCUUCUGUGCACAGCAUUCACUUUGGCAAUUACAAGCUGCACGGCUAAUAAUAAAUUCAUAACUUUCCCCAUCGUGAUAAAUUCAUAACGUUCGCCAUCGUGAAAUGAUGACUGCAGUCCUGUCUUUGUUUUGUUUACUGUUGGUUGCUAGGUUACCAAUGCCACCGUCAUUCGCUCAGACAACUUGAUGGAAACGCGCUAAUUCGUUUUUUUUUUUUUUUUUUUUUGCGAAUUUUGAAAAAAUAAAGGCUUCACGUUUUAAUGGAAACCUAGCUAACCUUACUGAUCUUAUCUUUUGUUCUCAAUUGUAAUUAUAUUAAGAUUGUGUUGUGGUCACAUGACAUGCAGAUUAAACAAGUAAAAUAUGUUUGUUAUUAAGUGUUUUAUUUAGAUUUAUGUAAAAAAAUUAUUUAUCUACAACUUUUUUAUUUACUCAUAAAACCCUUGCAAUUUUCCCACGGACCACCAGGGGUUCUCGAGAACCGGCGGCGAGCUGAUGGCGGGAGGUUUUAUGUGGCAGUAGUUCACAAAAUGUGAUACAAAACCCCAUGACUUUGCAAAAUCAGCGGAAGUAUGUAUAUGGCAAAUUAUAAAUUAUGUAGGUGCGAUUUUACUGUAAGCCAUGAUGGACUUUACACAGAUCAUCGACGGAACGACCGACAAAAAGACCCAAGCGUGUCACACGCCAAAACAUCUCCAGCGUCUGAUAUGAUGUCUUCAUCUACGAAGUACAGAGUGGAAAAACAGCCUGGAUAACCACAUACUUCUUCAUCUUCUUUUAUGCUUAACACAUGGAACAUGAUAAAGAUAGUGCCAACGUCAUGAUUACAUUGCGGUGCUAGCUGAAGGGCAAAACACAAGAACAACUGAAGGUGGCCAAUACAAAACAGCACUGAGUCGGCUACACAAGGAACGCAAAUAUCAUCUUGUUGUGUUAGGACAGGAGCCAAUCUGUAAUUGUAUUACAUACCUGCUGCCACUGCCAAGCAAAAAAAUAAAAAUAAACAAAACAAAACAAUGACAGUUGUGAUGAAAAGCAAUAAAACAAGCAGACUGGACAAAAAUGAUCUUUAAAAAUCCUCGCCUUUCCAGCGCACACUAUGAUGUACCUGCCCAUUCAGCACAUUAUUUUAGACAUUAAAUGAUUUAUGCCCCCUUAUUUUCUCUAUAACUAAAGUGUUGAUGUCAGGCCACUUCACUGGAGGUAGUCCUGUUACAUCGUCCAUCCAUUAAGUGAGCGUGUACGAGUCAGCGAGCCUGGUUCCGACCAUUAACGUUUUUAAAUAGCAUUCGCAGUCCUGGACAGUGUGUGACCUUACAUAGUCAGAUAAAAUCAUAUAAAUACAUUUUCUCCAGUCAUUGAUUAAAAAUGGUAACACUUUACAAUAAGGUUGUAUUUGUUAACAUUUAUUAAAUGGCUUGUUGGAAUGCUUGAUUCUGAUUGGCCAGUUGUGACAUUUACAGGUUUGCUAUUCUCAGAUAACAACCGCUCAAAACUAAUAACACAAGGUUACCCGGAUGCUGCAAAUCAUUUUGACAGGUAGUGUAUUAUUACACAAAAAUGAAAUAUAAAUGUCUUUUAAUAACAUAUAUGACAUUAUAGUUACAAAUGAUUAACCAAAUAGUGUGUUUGUGACAUUUGAACAUCUUAACUUAAAUCGGAAAAUAUUUUAAAUCAAUAUUUAAUGUUCCUUACCUUAAAUAACCAUGUAAUAAGUGGGAUAAUGUACAGCCAGCAAGUUUCACUUUUUGUUUUUGUUAUUCACGUCUGCAAUAACAACUGGCCUCCUAUACAUUAUUCCUUACUUAAUGCAUUGGCUAACAUGAACUAACAAUGAACAAUACAAUGGUAUUUAUUAAUCUUAGUUCAUAUUAAUCUCAUCAUUUACUAAUACAUUUUUAAAAUUAAAAUAUGUAUCUGUUAACGUGAGUUAAAGCAUCAAUAACACACGCUGUUUCUGCAUAUCUGAUGUUAAUCUGGAGUACCUAUGUAAGGAAUAAUUGACGACAGGCCAUUGAAUUAUAAGAAAAUAAUGCACACCCAAAGUGGUUAUACAGCGAAGGGGAGUGUCAUUACACCGCGCGUGUGCAUUAUUUUUGAAUAAUUCAAAGGACCAUAGUCAAUUAUUCCGCUUAUACCACGGUUACCAAAAAUAUUGCUCUGGUGCCUAUAUUUAACACAUUUUAAAGGUUAGGUGUGCGGUUAUUGAAAAAUAAUCAA